CGCAAGUCGAGCGGCAGCACGGACUUCGGUCUGGUGGCGAGUGGCGAACGGGUGAGUAAUACAUCGGAACGUGUCCUGGAGUGGGGGAUAGCCCGGCGAAAGCCGGAUUAAUACCGCAUACGCUCUGUGGAGGAAAGGGGGGGAUCUUAGGACCUCUCGCUCAAGGGGCGGCCGAUGGCAGAUUAGCUAGUUGGUGGGGUAAAGGCCUACCAAGGCGACGAUCUGUAGCUGGUCUGAGAGGACGACCAGCCACACUGGGACUGAGACACGGCCCAGACUCCUACGGGAGGCAGCAGUGGGGAAUUUUGGACAAUGGGCGCAAGCCUGAUCCAGCAAUGCCGCGUGUGUGAAGAAGGCCUUCGGGUUGUAAAGCACUUUUGUCCGGAAAGAAAACCUCUGUCCUAAUACGGCGGGGGGAUGACGGUACCGGAAGAAUAAGCACCGGCUAACUACGUGCCAGCAGCCGCGGUAAUACGUAGGGUGCAAGCGUUAAUCGGAAUUACUGGGCGUAAAGCGUGCGCAGGCGGUCCGCUAAGACAGAUGUGAAAUCCCCGGGCUUAACCUGGGAACUGCAUUUGUGACUGGCGGGCUAGAGUAUGGCAGAGGGGGGUAGAGUUCCACGUGUAGCAGUGAAAUGCGUAGAGAUGUGGAGGAAUACCGAUGGCGAAGGCAGCCCCCUGGGCCAAUACUGACGCUCAUGCACGA
rnacentral:rRNA from 1 species